rnacentral:tRNA from 5 species
GCACCCAUAGCUCAGCUGGAUAGAGCGCUGCCCUCCGAAGGCAGAGGUCAAAGGUUCGAAUCCUUUUGGGUGCGCCA